rnacentral:tRNA from 1 species
GCAAGUAUGGUUUAAUGGUAAAACAUUAGUCUUCCAAACUAAAAAAGCGGGUUCAACUCCCGUUACUUGCUUA